GACGAACGCUGGCGGCGUGCCUAACACAUGCAAGUUGAGCGACGAACCAGGGCUUGCCCUGGGGCAAAGCAGCGAACGGGUGAGUAACACGUGGGUAACCUACCCCGAUAACCGGGACAACCCGAGGAAACUCGGGCUAAUACCGGAUGUGCUCACUGGACUUCGGUUCAGUGCGUAAAGGAAGCUUCGGCCUCCGUAUCGGGAGGGGCCCGCGGCCCAUUAGUUUGUUGGUGAGGUAACGGCUCACCAAGACCGCGAUGGGUAGCUGGUCUGAGAGGACGAUCAGCCACACUGGGACGGAGACACGGCCCAGACUCCUACGGGAGGCACCAGUGGGGAAUCUUGCGCAAUGGGCGAAAGCGUGACGCAGCAACGCCGCGUGGGGGAAGAAGGCCUUCGGGUUGUAAACCCCUUUCAGGAGGGACGAAGGUUCGGCGGUGAAUAGCCGUCCGGACUGACGGUACCUCCACAAGAAGCCCCGGCUAACUACGUG
rnacentral:rRNA from 1 species